UGGGUGGUGGUGCAUGGCUGUUCUUAGUUGGUGGAGCGAUUUGUCAGGUUAAUUCCGAUAACGAACGAGACUCUGACUUACUAAAUAGUGAAUUUAUAUUCAAUUGUAAAUUCUCACGUCUUAGAAGAAUAAAUAGUGUUUAGCUAUAUGAAAUAGAGCAAUAACAGGUCUGUGAUGCCCUUAGAUGUCCGGGGCCGCACGCGCGCUACAAUGGCAGUACUAACAAGUUUUCCUAACUAGAAAUAGUCGGGUAAUCUCUUGAAACACUGUCGUAUCAGGGAUUGUGAAUUGAAAUUAUUUCACAUGAACGAGGAAUUCCUAGUAAGCGCAAGUCACUAGCUUGCGCUGAUUACGUCCCUGCCCUUUGUACACACCGCCCGUCGCUACUACCGAUUGAAUGGUUUAGUGAGAUUGUUGGAUUCUGAUCUAAGAAAUGGCAACAUUUCUAUGAAUGGGAAAAGACACUCAAACUUGAUUAUUUAGAGGAAGUAAAAGUCGUAACAAGGUUUCCGUAGGUGAACCUGCGGAAGGAUCAUUAUUAGUUNAGAGGAUCGAAGACGAUCAGAUACCGUCCUAGUUCUGACCAUAAACUAUGCCAACUGACAGUUAGUAAAGAUGAAUUAUUUCUUCUUACUAGAAGUCACCGGGAAACCAAAGUCUUUGGGUUCCGGGGGAAGUAUGGUUGCAAAGCUGAAACUUAAAGGAAUUGACGGAAGGGCACCACAAGGAGUGGAGCCUGCGGCUUAAUUUGACUCAACACGGGAAAUCUCACCCGGUCCGGACACUGUGAGGAUUGACAGAUUGAUAGCUCUUUCUUGAUUCGGUGGGUGGUGGUGCAUGGCCGUUCUUAGUUGGUGGAGCGAUUUGUCAGGUUAAUUCCGAUAACGAACGAGACUCUGACUUACUAAAUAGUGAAUUUAUAUUCAAUUGUAAAUUCUCACUUCUUAGAAGAAUAAAUAGCGUUUAGCUAUAUGAAAUAGAGCAAUAACAGGUCUGUGAUGCCCUUAGAUGUCCGGGGCCGCACGCGCGCUACAAUGGCAGUACUAACAAGUUUUCCUAACUAGAAAUAGUCGGGUAAUCUCUUGAAACACUGUCGUAUCAGGGAUUGUGAAUUGAAAUUAUUUCACAUGAACGAGGAAUUCCUAGUAAGCGCAAGUCACUAGCUUGCGCUGAUUACGUCCCUGCCAUUUGUACACACCGCCCGUCGCUACUAGACUGUUGUGAAAUCAGUGUUCAUAGCUGUGCUGGUCAUAUAGUUAAAAUUAAAUUAUUUUAAAUAUUAAAAAUUAAAGUUGUAAAAAAUCAA
rnacentral:rRNA from 1 species